GGUUGUGUAGUGUAGUGGUUAUCACUCCAGAUUUUGAGCAUCAAAAUCUUCUCGACCCAGUCGAGAUAGAGAAUCAUCUCAACCCUUCUGGUAACCCCGGUUCGAACCCGGGCACGACCU